GAUGAAGAACGUAGCGAAAUGCGAUAAGUAAUGUGAAUUGCAGAAUUCAGUGAAUCAUCGAAUCUUUGAACGCACAUUGCGCCCGCUAGUAUUCUGGCGGGCAUGCCUGUCCGAGCGUCAUUUCAACCCUCAAGCCCCCGGGCUUGGUGUUGGGGAUCGGCGAGCCUCCGCGCCCGCCGUCCCCUAAAUCUAGUGGCGGUCUCGCUGUAGCUUCCUCUGCGUAGUAGCACACCUCGCACUGGGAAACAGCGCGGCCACGCCGUUGAACCCCCAACUUCUGAACGUUUGACCUCGGAUCAGGUAGGAAUACCCGCUGAACUUAAGCAUAUCAAUAAGCGGAGGA
rnacentral:misc_RNA from 1 species